rnacentral:rRNA from 1 species
AGUGAACGCUGGCGGUAGGCCUAACACAUGCAAGUCGAACGGCAGCACAGUAAGAGCUUGCUCUUACGGGUGGCGAGUGGCGGACGGGUGAGGAAUACAUCGGAAUCUACUUUUUCGUGGGGGAUAACGUAGGGAAACUUACGCUAAUACCGCAUACGACCUACGGGUGAAAGCAGGGGAUCUUCGGACCUUGCGCGAUUGAAUGAGCCGAUGUCGGAUUAGCUAGUUGGCGGGGUAAAGGCCCACCAAGGCGACGAUCCGUAGCUGGUCUGAGAGGAUGAUCAGCCAAACUGGAACUGAGACACGGUCCAGACUCCUACGGGAGGCAGCAGUGGGGAAUAUUGGACAAGGGGCGCAAGCCUGAUCCAGCCAGACCGCGGGGGUGAAGAAGGCCUUCGGGUUGUAAAGCCCUUUUGUUGGGAAAGAAAAGCAGCAGGUUAAUACCCCGCUGUUCUGACGGUACCCGAAGAAUAAGCACCGGCUAACUUCGU